rnacentral:miRNA from 1 species
CACUAAAAUACGGUAUAGCGGG